AGACUGCAGGCUGCAACUCGCCUGCACGAAGUCGGAAUUGCUAGUAAUCGUAGGUCAGCAUGCCGCGGUGAAUACGUUCCCGGGCCUUGUACACACCGCCCGUCACACCAUGGGAGUUGGUAACACCCGAAGUCAGUAGCCUAACCGCAAGGAGGGCGCUGCCGAAGGUGGGAUCGAUGACUGGGGUGAAGUCGUAACAAGGUACC
rnacentral:rRNA from 1 species